GAUGAACGCUGGCGGCGUGCCUAAUACAUGCAAGUCGAGCGAACGGACGAGAAGCUUGCUUCUCUGAUGUUAGCGGCGGACGGGUGAGUAACACGUGGAUAACCUACCUAUAAGACUGGGAUAACUUCGGGAAACCGGAGCUAAUACCGGAUAAUAUUUUGAACCGCAUGGUUCAAAAGUGAAAGACGGUCUUGCUGUCACUUAUGGAUGGAUCCGCGCUGCAUUAGCUAGUUGGUAGGGUAGCGGCUUACCAAGGCAACGAUGCAUAGCCGGCCUGAGAGGGUGACCGGGCACAUUGGGACUGAGAUACGGGACAGACUGCUACGGGAGGCAGGAGUGGGGAAUAUUGCACAAUGGGCGGAAGCCUGAUGCAGCAACGCCGCGUGCGGGAUGACGGCCUUCGGGUUGUAAACCGCUUUCGACUGUGACGAAGCGUGAGUGACGGUAAUGGGUAAAGAAGCACCGGCUAACUACGUG
rnacentral:rRNA from 1 species